rnacentral:rRNA from 1 species
AUUUGGGUGGCGGACGGGUGAGUAACGCGUAAAGAACUUGCCUCACAGUUAGGGACAACAUUUAGAAAUGAAUGCUAAUACCUGAUAUUAUGGUUAUAGGGCAUCCUAUAAUUAUGAAAGCUAUAAGCACUGUGAGAGAGCUUUGCGUCCCAUUAGCUAGUUGGAGAGGUAACAGCUCACCAAGGCGAUGAUGGGUAGCCGGCCUGAGAGGGUGAUCGGCCACACUGGGACUGAGACACGGCCCAGACUCC